CUAAAAAUUUAGGAACAGGCUCCUGAGAUUCAAAUACAGCGAAAGCCCAGGUGAGAUUGGCUGCCAAUCACCAGCAAUAAGGCUAUCGGCUUUUGUAAGCUGCCAGCUAGCUUGAUGGUAAGAUCUUUUGGUGGUUAUGCUUGAGACUUCGGAAGUGAUUUUGGUCUGCCUUAAAAAAAAAAGGUUAUGCUUGAGACUUCGGAAGUGAUUUUGGUCUGCCUUAAAAAAAAAAAAGGAGCUGAGUAGCCAAAGAUCAUUAAGAUUUAAUGUUUCCUUUCUUUCUUUGCUGCUUUUUUCCCUGAGGGCUGCAGAAAAACUUUUUUGAGUAUGUUGGAGGAUUUAGGCCAUCGAUCAUUGGAUUCACUGUUGCAUGCAUGCUAGCCAGUCAGCUGUAAAAUCUUAUAAAGAUAACAGAAAAUGGCUGCAGCUGAAAAAGAAAAAUCUUCACACAGAAUGAAACUUUUAUGAGUAUGGAUUGCCUGGAUAUCAUGAAAGAGUUUGCAUAAAGCUAUUUCAUGCGUAAUUCUAUGGAAAUCUGCUUUCUCUCUUCUUUGAUAAUAGUUUGAUAUGUCUACAAAGCUAAUCUACGAGCUCUUUGCUUUUUUUCUAUAAUUUUGCCAUAUUUCUCCCAUUGUCCAGUCAUCUUUGAUCUAUUUUACAUGGAAUACUACUGUAAAGGUAUUCCGGUAAAAUAUCCUCUCAUUGCUUUCUGGUUUUCCAACCAUCUGCGUUUCCACCAAUAAUAACACAGCGAGUCUCUAUUACUGUAUGAUUUAUAGUCUAUUGAUUCUCUGUUCUUUCACAGGAUACCACGUUGAUUGGGGUGGUUCUCUUUGACAAAAAAAAUAAAAAAAAAAUGAAACUCUUAAAUCAUUUCAAGUAUUUCUUCAUCUCACCACCAUUUGAGCAGUAGCACCACUUAAAAUUUUGCAGGAUUGUGCGCGGUGAACGUUGCGGGUCCACCGUCGCCAACUUGUGAGCCUCGACGUAAGCCGCAACUCCGUAAAGUGGAGGGAAACAUCUAGCCGUUUAACUUUCAACGUACCCUGGAAGUCCUCGUUGAACCUAAUUGCCAAUCGGUCUACUUACGAAAGCUUUUUGGUAGGUUGAGUACAUGGUGGCUUCACGUCUCCGAUCUGGAUUGGCUUUGCCAUUCUGGAUGUCUUGGUCCCCAGCACUAAUAGCGAGGUUGCUUGUAGGAGGUGAAGAGGUUUUCUUCUUCUUCUUCUCUUUCUUUUUUUGGGUGGAGGAAGAGGUUUUCUUGUUUCAAGAGUUUGUUAGGCCAAAGUUAAAUAUUUAAUAACAAGAAAAUCCUCAUAGUCAUAGAUACUAUUGUUAAAUAACACAUCUUUUCCUUAUAUAGAAGUCCGACUAAAUAUUGAUCUUUAGUGCAUCUUAGUGUUUAUAAGCCUGGGGCAGGUUCCUCACCUGGUAGUUAAGUGUUCUCCAUCAUGAGUUUGCAAUAAGUGGUAUUAGAGCUGUGCUCAAUGUCUGACAUAAUUAUUAUAAAAUUGCAAGCUUAUUUCUAGUUGGGAAGUGCCAUGUUGGCUUGGUGGCUAGCUUAAUUAUAGUUUCGGAUUUUUACAUUUGCAUAUUAACUAAAAACCACUCCAAAAUCUAAAUUUUAUGAUCUGCAUUCUUGAAUUAUAUUAUCGUCAUUUUUAGCCAGUCUAGAUGAAAUCAACAGUUUCAAAUCCCAAUAAAAUUAGCAAUUUCAAAUCCCAAUUAGUCGAGGCUUUGGUUUCUGUAUUGCAAAAUCUUUAUGAUAUUAAUAUAUAUAAAUUUAGAUUCCAAUCACAAUUAAGAUUAGAUAGAUUAGAGCGUAUGCAUACCUAACGUGAACAAAAUUCCCGAUAGAUUCAAGCAGCUAAAGACAUGAUCAUACUCGACUC
rnacentral:lncRNA from 1 species